GUGGGGAAUUUUGGACAAUGGGCGCAAGCCUGAUCCAGCCAUGCCGCGUGCAGGAUGAAGGCCUUCGGGUUGUAAACUGCUUUUGUACGGAACGAAAAAGCUCUCUCUAAUACAGGGGGUGAAUGACGGUACCGUAAGAAUAAGCACCGGCUAACUACGUGCCAGCAGCCGCGGUAAUACGUAGGGUGCAAGCGUUAAUCGGAAUUACUGGGCGUAAAGCGUGCGCAGGCGGUUUUGUAAGACAGGCGUGAAAUCCCCGGGCUCAACCUGGGAAUUGCGCUUGUGACAGCAAGGCUGGAGUGCGGCAGAGGGGGAUGGAAUUCCGCGUGUAGCAGUGAAAUGCGUAGAUAUGCGGAGGAACACCGAUGGCGAAGGCAAUCCCCUGGGCCUGCACUGACGCUCAUGCACGAAAGCGUGGGGAGCAAACAGGAUUAGAAACCCCGGUAGUCC
rnacentral:rRNA from 1 species